rnacentral:rRNA from 1 species
GAGGGAUAUCCGAAGUCGCCGCGCCAACCGCRAGGRGGCAGCCRACCACGGUAGGGUCAGCGACUGGGGUGAAGUCGUAACAAGGUAGCCGUAGGUGAACCUGCAGAAGGAUCA